UUUCUUUUUCUUUACAACCAGUCACUCUUUCGAUUUGCCUUCUCAACCAGUCGACCUUUUUCUUUUCUUUUUCUCUGUGUCACUCCUUCGAUUGCUCUCAAUUGGUGGGUUUCCAGGUUACUGCUACUGAAAGGUAAAGGUUUCUAACUCUCUUUUGCUCUCAAUUAUCCUGUAAUUGUUCUAACUCUCUUCUUCUCUCUGUACUGAGUUUUAAUGGCUGUCUUGUUAGUGUCUUCUUCAUUGCACUUUCAGGGCCUGAUCAUAUAAACUUCAUCGAAACACGGAAUCUUUUGUUUCUUCUUCUCUUUUGCUGGAGUUUUUGCUUUAAUUUUCGGUAAAAAUUUCUUACUAAUCUUUGAUUUUGGUUGUUUUCUCAUUGGUUGAUCUUUACGGCCCUCAUGGAAUCAAAGACCUGAAAGUUUAAAGGGAAUUUUCCUUACUUUCUUGAUAAAAUUCAAUUUAAAACAUUCCAAGAAUUUUUUCCACCUUGUGAUUGGUAAUUUUCCACUUCUUAAUUCUUUUUGAAUAAUUGAGUUAUCUACUUCGUUAUUAGAUGAUUAUUGUUAUGAUUAUUUGAAGAACAGCAACUUGUGUACAUAGAGUUUAUUUUGUUCUAAUUGCGUGACAGGUUUUCGAUGCUUAGUUGCAUGUUAAACAAAAAUCCAGAAUGAUCCUAUCAAUGCAAGAAAAGUCACAGUUUAUUCCAAUUUACAAUCAUUUUUUCUUUUUCUAUGUGUGUUUUUAUCUUGUUAGGAUUAGACUUGCUCAUAUUCAUUUUCGUUCAGUAUGUUGUUUUUGCUAUUAGAUUUCUAUUUUUCUGGGUUGUUCUUUUAAAAAAUGAAUGAUUUUGCCUAGUAAUCUAAUUUAAUUUGUGUUUUUAUGUUAUGGGGGGCUAAAAUGAUUAG
rnacentral:lncRNA from 1 species